rnacentral:snRNA from 1 species
AACUUUGAGCAGUGGCAGUAUUGUAGCCAAUGAGGUUUAU